GUGACGAAAUCUUAAACGAAAACCGCGCUAACAUCAAAAUCGUUGACAAUUUUGUUCCUAAUCAGAUCAGUUCGAGUAGAUUAAGGCAAUGCAUUUCGCAAGGGUUAUCGGUUAAAUACUUGACUGAAGAUGGAGUUAUAGAUUAUAUCAGACAACAUCAACUUUACACGGAGC